GUAAAUGGCGUUGAGAUGAGAAUCUGCCAAAACCCAUCUCCCCAUGUGGCCUGCCCCCCUUGAGAUUAGACACGUGGCAUCUGCUCGGGGUGGUGCCUGGUUUCCAGCACCUUCUUCUCCUCUGCAGAGGGGGCUCGUUACAGCUCAAGCUCCCUGGGACAGAAGUAAAUGCCGAGGUGGGGGUUUUUCAUCUCCACAUUACCUGACGUGGAGGAUAGGAGCCAUUCAGUCAGAGAUGCCUUUUUCGGGGGGGAUUUCUCUCCCUAUAGGUAGCUGUAAUUCACACUUCCACCAGCAGGGUGCGCGUGUCUUCUCAUCCUGGCCACACCACGGAAUGUUAUUUUGUUGCCAACCUGAUAGAUGAAACAUACACCUUGGCUUUAGAAAAAUAUACAUUGUUUUCCCAUGGAAAAGUAACACACCCUCAUUAGACACAUUUAGGAAACUGUAGGAAGCGGAAAUAACUGCUGUGCUCCCAAUGCCUCCAGCAGCCUAGGGUGCUCCAAGAAUAUCUGCUGAAUAAGUGAAUGAGGAAAAACAAAUUACCAUGGGUCCACCAAGAAGAAACACUUCUGCCGACCUUUUGACGUGUGUGUUUUCUCUGAGUAUUUUUUCCCACCAAAGUUUAGGUGCGGUUUUAAGGGUCUCUAACAUCCUCGCCAGCUUGUGAACCACAGUUUGACUCUUCUGCUGCUGCACUUUUAGGCUGUUUUCCAUUUUUCUCUUCAUAAAGGAUGUGGCUGAUGCCUUUCGGCAGAGAACUCUUUCCAUAUUUCACCUUAUUUCCUAAGGAGAGAGUGUCAGAAGAGGGAUGAACUUGGUCACUUGGUCAAAGUUUUUUCUUUUUUAAUCUGAUUUCAUAUUUCUUAAGAAUGAUGCACCUUAUGAAACAACUUUAUAUCUGUUGAGAAACCUGGUUAAGUUCUUUUUUUAAUAUUGUUUUUAAAAAAGACUUGUUCUGAACAAUAUCCUGUGUCUUUCAGAAAACAGCGGCGGAUAUGAAAGGAGAUUUGUUCCCUCCAAGCUCUUAGGAGACGAUCUGGCUCAGGAAACAGACACAUCAGAUCCUUGCGUGUAUCUGAUGGUUGCCAUGGGAACAAGUCAUUUAACACAAUGCUGGGUUAAAGCAUUGAUCAAUAAGGGAGGGGGCAAGAUUGAAACAAAUUAGUUGGUGUCUGAGCAGGCCGGACAGAUAAUGACAGUAACGGGCAGUGCUCUGCCUGGCCUCCUCCCGUGGCCGGGGCCUGGGCCUGGGCCAGCAGAGGCAGGAGUGGGGUCCCUUCAUCUAGGGUUGGGAUGUGUGGGGCAGAGAACAGAGUCAUAUCAGGCUGAGGAAACUGUUCCCCAAACCAGAUACUGGGGCAAGAGAGGCCUGAGAGGAGUCUGGGGACCUGGGCUCUGGGGGUGAGUGGAACACAAGGCGACAUGGGAAGAAGCUGGGAUGGACCCCAGGGCCUGGGCACAGCCAGUCCCGGCUUCUCCACGCUCCUGCACCAUGUUUGCACAGACGGCUGGGACAUCUUGCCACAUCCUUCAUCUCUCAGGUGUCUGCCAAAGACGCAGCCGCUAACCCCGUGCCCUGUGUUUUGGGCAUGGAUGGGGCAUUCCCUCCUCCUUCUGGGAACCGGAAGCAUCCGGGCUGGCCUGGGAGCCAUCAAGGGCUCAGACUCCGCAUUUGGCAAGACCUGUUUCUAACUGCUACCCCCACCUCCUGGCCGUUGAGCUGGCAAGUCACUGAAGCCCGUGCCCCUCAGUCUUCUCAUCUGUAUGAUGAAGGAACCAUGCGCAGCGUCUGGCUUGGCGCCUGCAACAGAGUCAGCCCUCAGGAUGUAGUAACCUCGCCCUAUUUAUACCAUGUUCGUGUGCCUGGAACAGGCUCCGGGGGCGCCUCGGACCCCAACUGCCACGGCAGCCACACAGCAGGACGAGGAGAGAACAGCCCGUGGGGCCGGAUGCGGCGGGGCUGGGACGCCAGGCAGACGAGAUGCCGGCUGUGCAACCUCCCUGGUCCCUUCACAUCUCUGAGGUGCACUUGGCUCGCGGGUCAAGUGGGGAUACAGCGCCUUUCUCCGGGGGCGCUGAGCGCGGCGAUGAGCGUGGGUAACACAGCCAGGAGUGCUUCUCCCCCGGGGGAACAGGAUUUUCCGGGGUCCGGACACUCACGCCCCCCGGAUCGGCGCCCCGGAGCGCAGGCGCGCGGCGGGGGGCUGCCCCCCAGGCGAAGGGCCCGGCUCGGCAUCUGGAAAGACCCGCGGGUCGCGCGGCCCCGGAGCGGCCGGCAGGGGGCAGGCUGUCCCCGCGAGCCGGCCGUGUCCUCGCGUCACCCCGCCGCCUCCAGCCCCCGCGCCUCCUGAAGGGGCCACGCGGCCGCCUCUGCGCGGAGGGCGAGCGGCCCUUCCCCGGGGAGCCCUCUCCAUCAGCGCGGGCCCAAUAAUUUACGUUUAAUUUGGGAGCGGU
ensembl:lncRNA